AACAGAUUUACUUCGGUAAUGACGUUAGGAAAGCGAGCGGCGGAUGGGUGAGUAACACGUGGGGAACCUGCCCCAUAGUCUGGGAUACCACUUGGAAACAGGUGCUAAUACCGGAUAAGAAAGCAGAUCGCAUGAUCAGCUUUUAAAAGGCGGUGUAAGCUGUCGCUAUGGGAUGGCCCCGCGGUGCAUUAGCUAGUUGGUAAGGUAAAGGCUUACCAAGGCGAUGAUGCAUAGCCGAGUUGAGAGACUGAUCGGCCACAUUGGGACUGAGACACGGCCCAAACUCCUGCGGGAGGCAGCAGUAGGGAAUCUUCCACAAUGGACGCAAGUCUGAUGGAGCAACGCCGCGUGAGUGAAGAAGGUUUUCGGAUCGUAAAGCUCUGUUGUUGGUGAA
rnacentral:rRNA from 1 species